CAGCCCCUGACCAUGGCCUGGACCCCGCUCCUCCUGGGCCUCCUGGCUCACUGCACAGGUUCUGUAUCUUCCUAUGAGGUGAAUCAGCCUCCCUCAGUCUCUGUGAGCCCGGGAGGGGAGUCCAAGAUGACCUGUGCGGGAGACAACAUUGGAGGCAAAUAUGUUUCCUGGUAUCAGCAGAAGCCAGGCAAGGCCCCAGUGAUGGUCAUCAACAGUAAUAACAACCGGCCCUCAGGGAUCCCUGACCGCUUCUCUGGCUCCAAAUCUGGCAACCUGGCCACCCUGACCAUCACAGGAGUCCAGGCUGAGGAUGAGGCUGACUAUUACUGUGCAGCAGUGCGGGCAGCUGGCAGUGAGCACAGUGGCACAGACACUGGGGAAGUGGGUUCUGUAUCUUCCUAUGAAGUGAAUCAGCCGCCCUCAGUCUCUGUGAGCCCAAGAGGGGAGGCCAAGAUGACCUGUGCAGGAGACAAUAUUGGAGGCAAAAUUGUUUCCUGGUACCAGCAGAAGCCAGGCCAGGCCCCAGUGCUGGUCAUCUACAGUGAUAACAAGCGGCCCUCAGGGAUUCCUGACCGGUUCUCUGGCCACAAGCCUGGCAACAUGGCCACCCUGACCAUCACAGGAGUCCAGACUGAGGAUGAGGCCGACUAUUACUGUUUAGCAGCUGUUAGCAUUGGGAGCAGCUGGCAGUGA